UUCAUCUGACUCUGGGGAAGGAGAUAAAGGGCUUCAUCUGACUCUGGGGAAGGAGAUAAAGGGCUUCAUCUGACUCUGGGGAAGGAGAUAAAGGGCUUCAUCUGACCCUGGGGAAGGAGAUAAAGGGCUUCAUCUGACUCUGGGGGAGGAGAUAAAGGGCUUCAUCUGACUCUGGGGAAGGAGAUAAAAGGACUUAAUUGCCCAAAUCCCAAAGUAUCCCUUUAAGUGGUGUGUCAUGUAGGGUGUAGGCAGCUUAAGAGGAUCUACAGAGGACAGGCACAGCCUUUUCCUGGUUUUGGAUGGGGAGAAAUAGGAAGUAGGAAAGGAGAAGGGAGAAGAACGGGUUAAAGAAAGGAGAGAUAGUGGACGACCUAGCAGGGUAACGAGAAAAACGAGGAGGGUAGGUACAGCUGAAGAAAGGAGGAUAUACGGAAAUAGGAGAGAAGGAGAGAAGAAAAAGGAGGGAAGGUACCUGUGGCUGAGGAAAAAAUAGAGAAGGAGAGAAGAAGAAAGGAGGGAAGGUACCUGUUGCUGAGGAAAAAAUAGAGAAGGAGAGAAGAAGAAAGGAGAGAAGGUAUCUUUUGCUGAGGAGAAAAUAGAGAAGGAGAGAAGAAGAAAGGAGGGAAGGUACCUGUUGCUGAGGAAAAAAUAGAGAAGGAGAGAAGAAGAAAGGAGAGAAGGUAUCUGUUGCUGAGGAGAAAAUAGAGAAGGAGAGAAGAAGAAAGGAGGGAAGGUACCUGUUGCUGAGGAAAAAAUAGAGAAGGAGAGAAGAAGAAAGGAGAGAAGGUAUCUGUUGCUGAGGAGAAAAUAGAGAAGGAGAGAAGAAGAAAGGAGGGAAGGUACCUGUUGCUGAGGAGAAAAUAGAGAAGGAGAGAAGAAGAAAGGAGGGAAGGUACCUGUUGCUGAGGAGAAAAUAGAGAAGGAGAGAAGAAGAAAGGAGGGAAGGUACCUGUUGCUGAGGAGAAAAUAGAGAAGGAGAGAAGAAGAAAGGAGGGAAGGUACCUGUUGCUGAGGAGAAAAUAGAGAAGGAGAGAAGAAGAAAGGAGGGAAGGUACCUGUUGCUGAGGAGAAAAUAGAGAAGGAGAGAAGAAGAAAGGAGGGAAGGUACCUGUUGCUGAGGAGAAAAUAGAGAAGGAGAGAAGAAGAAAGGAGGGAAGGUACCUGUUGCUGAGGAGAAAAUAGAGAAGGAGAGAAGAAGAAAGGAGGGAAGGUACCUGUUGCUGAGGAGAAAAUAGAGAAGGAGAGAAGAAGACAGGAGGGAAGAUACCUGUUGCUGAGGAGAAGAGAGAAUAGCAGACUUUGAUUUACUACAGCAGUAAUUAUCUGGAAGAAAGAAUAAGAAAAAGCUGAAAUAGCUGGGGGUAUAAAUUACUGUAGGAUUGAAGCGAUAAUAUAGAUACACACGGCGAGGCAUGACUUAACGUGACCACAAUCCGGAGUGGGGUACAGCCAUAGGGUACACCCAAUACUUCCAUGUUAAAUUGCCUACUUUACUCAUAACCCGACAACGUCACAAUUAUCAGCCAAAGAGCCUGACUUUCUUCAGCUAGCUAGCUAACCCUGCUUUUAUAGCUAAGAUGCCAAAAAGCUGUUGCGUACUGUUUUGUUUGAACAACAGUAGGAGAAAACACCACCAAAUUAGGUUUUAUGAACUGGCUACUUUGAGCCAUUUGGUAGGGAGGAUGGUGUUGAUGUGAGCCAUGACCUGCCUUUCAAAGCAUUUCAUGGCUGUAGAUGUGAGUGCUACGAGGCGAUAAGUCAUUUAGACAGGUUACCUUAGCGUUCUUGGGCACAGGGACCAAGGUGGUCUGCUUG